rnacentral:rRNA from 1 species
AUUGAACGCUGGCGGCAGGCCUAACACAUGCAAGUCGAGCGGAGCGGCCGACGGGUGAGUAAUGCAUAGGAAUCUGCCCGGUAGUUGGGGCUAACGUAAGGUCACGGGAGCUAAUACCGCAUCCUAUUAGAUGAGACUAGGUCGGAUUAGCUCGUUGGAGGGGUAAGGGCCUAACAAGGCGACGAUCCGUAUCUGGCCUGAGAGGCUGAUCAGUCACACUGGAAAUGAGACACGGUCCAGACUCCUACGGGAGGCAGCAGUGGGGAAUAUUGCACAAUGGGCGCAAGCCUGAUGCAGCCAUGCCGCGUGGGUGAAGAAGGUCUUCGGGUUGUAAAGCACUGUCAGCGGGGAGGCGUUACCCGCAGAAGAAGCACCGGCUAACUCCGUGCCAGCAGCCGCGGUAAUUC